ensembl:misc_RNA Metazoa_SRP Metazoan signal recognition particle RNA
GCUGGGCAUGGUGGUGUGUGCCUGUAAUCCCAGCUUCUCAGGAGGCUGAGGCAGGAGAAUCACUUGAACCCAGGAGGCGGAGGUUGCAGUCAGCUGAGAUCGCGCCACUGCACUCCAGCCUGGGUGACAGAGUGAGACUCUGUCUUUA